rnacentral:lncRNA from 1 species
GAGUGAGACCCUGUCUCGAAAAAAAAAAAAGGAUUUCAUCCUAAGAGCAAUGAAAAAAACUACUGAUAGAUUUUAAUUCAUGAUUUGACAUGAUCAAAUAUGCACUUCAAAAAGAUCACAAAGUGCAUGUCUUAGUGUAUAUGUAGAAUGGAAUGGCAACAAGGAAGGAUGACAGGAUGUUGUUGGACUGGUUAGGAAGCUGUUGGUUGUGUAUAUCAGUGGUUCUCAAACAGGGCCUAUUAUACUCCCAUAAGACAUUUGGCAAUUUUGGAGACAUUUUUAGUUGUCAUAACUGGGGAAGGUUGAGCAUUACUGCUAUCUGGGGAGGGUAGAGGCAAGGGUUGAUGCUACACAUCUUACAAUGCAGCCUCCUAUAACAAAGAAUUAUACAACCAGAAAUGUCAAUGGACUAAGACUGAGAAACCUGGUUGCCGAUUAUACUACUUUCAAUUCUGGUGGUAAUGCUGGUGGUGGUAGAAAAAGGUGAACAGAGAUACUUUUGUACAUAGUUAUGAGCAUGUUGUACAUAUUAUCUAUUUUAUUAUUUCGUGUUUGGC